rnacentral:rRNA from 1 species
CGCUGGAGCGUCAGACCCAUACCGGACCGCUUCGGCACCGCCUUCGCGCAAUUGCGCGGAGGAGCCAAGCUGAAGCGAGUAGGAGGGCCGCUGCGGUGAGCGCCGAAGCCUGGGACGUGAGUCUGGGUGGAGCCGCCGCAGGCGCAGAUCUUGGUGGUAGUAGCAAAUAUUCA